rnacentral:misc_RNA from 1 species
GAAAUGCGAUACGUAGUGUGAAUUGCAGAAUUCCGCGAAUCAUCGAGUCUUUGAACGCAAGUUGCGCCCGAGGCUUGUCCAAGGGCAUCUCUGCCAGAGCGUCACCGCGACACCCACCGAACCACUCUACAUAGUGGUUCGUGUGAAAGUGGCCAUCCGAACGUGCACACACAAGUGCACGUUGGGUUGGCUGAAAUGGAGGGAAUUUGGCCGCCGUGUUGACACAGCCAGCGAUCAGGUGAUCCAGGUGUCAAAAGCCUGGAACUCAAACGUGCGCUGGCCCUCGUGGCAUCCAGUUGGUCGGACUCACAAGCAGGAUCCUACCGACACUCCGGCCUAAAAAGCCGGGUGGAGGAAGAAGACUAAGUCACGCAUCAGACCUCUGAUCAGAGAAGACUAC